rnacentral:lncRNA from 1 species
UGUAGUCUUCUGAGACCGUCUUAUCCAAUCUAUGCAUUGGUGGAUGCAGAUGUGUUGAUCGCACCCUGAAGUAUUUACUAUAUGGAGAUAAUUAGAAAGAGAUUGACUAGAUACUAAAGGGGACAAUUUAGAAUAAAUUUAUUUUUCAUUAUUCCAAUUAAUAGUACAAAGGUAAUGUUGGUACUACUUAAAGUUUAACUUCACCUUUUAGAAAUUAUUUAAUGUUAAUUUUCUGUCAGUGUUUUAAGCAUAGAUGAAACUUUAAUCUGCACAUAAUUGUUUUUAUUUCUACUGGCAGUUAUUCAGAGGAACUCACUAUCUUCCUCAUUUUUCAGGUUUUCUUUUUUUGGUGUUAAUUAACUUAUUUAUUCAUUUUAUAUCAUGGUAGUAGCAUACCCCCCCCCCCCAAGUCCAACCACCACAAAUCCCUUUCCCCAUUAUCUUGUCCUUUCUCCUCAAAAAGUUGAAGCCCCCAUUGGGUAUAUCCUCCAACAUCAAGUCACAUCAGAACUAAGCAUAUCCUCUCCCACUGAGGCAGGCAGUGGCAGGCAAUUGUCAGAAAUAUCUCCUACUCCAAUUGUUAGAGGACCCACAUGAAGAUCAAACAGCACAUCUGCAAACACUCUAUCACUGAACAGAAUACCCCAUCCUAAUAUACUUUUCUUAUUUUAAUACUGCAGCAAUAUCAGGUUUGGGUCUUUGGUAUCAUUUAUAUUACUUCCAACAUAUAUAAAAGAAUCUUGGUGUUCAUAUAUACAAUGUUUCAGAUAGUGUUCAUUUGUUCAUUUCCUUCUGAGUCACUGUACUUUGCUGGGUAUGAGGCUGACCCCUCUAGGAAAGACACUAUGUGAUCAUGCAUCUUUGUGGGUUGCAUUAUUCCAAUUGUUACUCAUUAUUGACAUCUCAUUAGGGUCAGAAAUCUUUAUGUUGUCAUUUUGUCCUUUUAGUUUGUUUUGGCUUUUGUUUGUUUUUUAGACAAAAUAACUUUGUGUAGACUUGGCUGUCCUAGAACUCUCUCUGUAGACCAGUCUUGGUCUCAUACUGACAUAGUUACCUGCCUCUACCUCCUAUGUGCUAGAAUUAAAAUGCAUGCCACCACUGAUCAGCUUAUUUCUCAGACUAUAGAUACAGUGAGUGAUUUUGAGUGGAUGCCAAUGCUUGUAUUCUAAAUGAAACUUUCUUUUUUAACUCAUGAUAUCUCCUAAUAUUUUUUCUGUAGUGUAAUCCAUUUGAUUGGCACUCAAUCUUUGGGAAAAAUUAUUCUCAUUUUUGCUCAUAAUACUUUAAAAUAAAUUAAAGUUAUUGAGUCUUUUUCCAAAAAUGAUCCUGAUUCAAAGUCAAAUAUCUUUAAAUACUUUUUAAUUACUUAAAAUUCAUUUAAUCUAAUUAAAUUUAUAAAUUUGACAAUACUUAGGUCUAUUAAAGAAUACAAUAAUUUGAUUAGUGGAUGUAAUGUACAAUAGUUAAAAACAAUAAUCACUAAUUUUAGUUUUCAAAUAAUAGUGCCUCUGUAUGUGAGUUUGUUAAAUGUGUAUCAUGCAUUUUGUUAAGUUUUGUCUACUUAUUUGAAGUAGUGAUAAUAUGUUUACAUGCUAGGAUACUGUUUGUAAAAUGCUCCUUUCUUAUGCAGAAUAAUUAAAAGUUAUUUCUGCAAAAUCUUUAAAAAUCAUUUCCCCAAAAAAUCAUAAUUAGAAAUACUUUACUCAAGACAAAAUAGACAUUGUAAGUUGAUCCAGUAUUAGUAGUAAACUACUCAGGUCAUGCAUUACCACAGUGAGAUAAUUCUUUCAGAUGAUUCAAUUGACACCAGGAAUUGGGGAUAUCUUUAAAUAUAUAGCAUGAAAUUUAUAUUUUCUACAAAACAAACUACAUUUACUUUUAAACAUAUUUACACAGAAGUAACCACAUAAAAUUUGUGAUUAAAGAGUAAAAUAUAAUUUGCUAAUUUUAAGAAAGAAAAUUGAAAUUUAAGCAAUAAAAUAUUAUUGUUCUGUGGCUCUUUGGUUAGAAUUUUAUGAAAAAUGAAUUAAAAAAUAAGUAAAAAGGCAGGCAACCUAUUCCUGUGGAUGAUCACAUGCCAAAGGUCAGGGUUCACCUCUCAAAAAGAGUAUUUCUGAGCUACAGAGUACUUGUAUGUCAUAAAGAAAGAGAGGAAUUUAUAAUGAGGUUUCUGAAAUAAAUAUUCCAUAGGGGUAAAUUAGGAGCCUUUAUUCUAUGUGUCUGUCUUAAAUUAUUUCAAGUUAGAGCACACCUUCCACUUUUCUUGGUACGUGCAGACUGCACAGUUUUCUACUUGAAUGCUUUAGAUGGGUCACUGUUACUGGCUACUCUCUGGAGACUCAGGAACUCUUUCUUCUUACAGUCUUGACUGUUGAAGAGUGCUACAAAUACUAAGCUAUAUUCAUAUCUACAUUCAUCAAACCCAUGUACAUGUACUAUACACAUCAAUCUUCACAUUUCACAAUCAUCACAAAUGUGAUGGACAGAACACACUUUCUUUAUUUUUAGUUUUUAAUUGGGAAUCCAUGGUAGAUGGACAAUAUAGACAUUAGAAGUAGUAGAUUCAUGUUAGGUCCACCAUCCACUAUUUGUAUGGAAGAUACUUAGGAAAUCUAGAUGGGAUGCUUAGGUUCUUUAGAAGUUGAUGCUGCAUAUGUCUUUUCCUUACACAUUUCUUGACAUCUCUAGGAAAUAAUUCUUACAGUUAAUAUAUUCACAUAUAAUAUUAUAAGUUAUUGAGCAAACUUGAUAUCUGUCUUAUUUAAAAAUGUAUUAUUUACAUAUACUGUCUUUGUAUAUAUACAAAAUGAAAGGGAUGAUGUCACAUUGUGAAUAAUUAUAAGAAUAACAGUCCUCUAUUAUAUAUCCUUAAAAUUUUGUGGUUCCAUGUGAAUUAAGGCGGGUUUUCUAGUUAACAGUAUUUUUUAGGGUACAUAUGAAUUACCUAGUUAUGAUUGAAUCUUGACGAUUCAAUGUGAAAAAUAUAGACAAAAGGUGAGAUAACUUUAGAAAACAAAGAAAAUUGACAGUUUUAUAAAACAAUUACUAGACCAGUAUUUCUGAAGUAGAAAAAUUACACACCAGAUUGUGUGAAAUGAGACAUGCUUCCAGGAAGCAAAAUGCUCAAUGCUGUAGGCAAAGGCUACUGAUUGGCUUUGAUCAGGUCACCAUAGAAAGAUUGCGCUGGCAGCGAAAGGUGGGCGAAACAAAGGAGAUAAUCCAGGAAAGCAGAAAACUACAAAUUCCAUGAAAACUAUAAAUUCCAAAUUCUAAUGAUAGAAAUAAAUUUGAACUGCGGAGGCUUUGAAGUUCUUGGAGCAUGAAUUGAUGGUGAAUGCGAGGAAAAGACAGAAUGUUGUAAAUGAUUUUAAGGCACUGGGAGUUUCUGAUUUUUGUGAAAGCAAAUCCUUUAGGGGAUUCCUUUUUAUUCAAAUCAAGGACUAUAUACAUUGCUAGCUGAUGUACGCUAGGCACGUUUUCUACCGCUGAGCUACACUCUGGUUUCACAAAGUCAGUUUUAGUAUUUGACAAUGAAACAGCCUUUCUUCAAAGUUCUUGCAAGUCAGCCCUGGCUUUGUAUGUACAAGGCAUAUCGCCUUGAUAAUGUACUUGUCUGUGCACUGACUUUAAUGACGCAGAAGGAAGGCUGCAACAGUUACUUCAUAAUUUUCCUUCCCUAUUUAGAUACCAAGAUCCCCUAGUCGUUCUUCUUGGCCUCAGUUGAAAGGUUAUCACGACAUUGAUCCCAUAAUACCUGCUUCUUGCUAAUAAAUAUGUCUCCAUACACAGCAAACAUUCAUUAACAUGGGGUCCUUCCAGAAAAAUGGCAGGCACCCACAUUCUGAGGAAAAUUCUCUUUUUUUUUCCCUCAAAUACAAAUUUAUUUGUACAAGUAUACGAUUUAAUACCAGAAAAAAUGAUUCAAUUACAGAGAAUUAGUUAAAUCUUUAGUGAUUAAAUUUUAAGAACUGAUAAGGUUGACUUUAUGCAUUUUCAGAUAUAAUU